AUGGACGCCGCCGCGAAAGGGAGGGACGGCGAGGAGAAGAAGGAGGGCGGGCACGGGAAGAGGGUGUCCUUCACGGGGAUGUUCCGGUACGCCGACCGCACGGACCAGCUGCUGAUGCUGGUCGGCACGCUGGCCGCGCUGGCCAACGGCGUCUCGCAGCCGCUCAUGACGGUCAUCUUCGGCGACAUGAUCGACGCCUUCGGCGGCGCCACCAGCGACAACGUCCUCCACCGCGUCAACAAGGCGGUUCUGAGCUUUGUCUACUUGGGUAUCGGAACAGCAGUGGUCUCCUUUCUCCAGGUGGCAUGCUGGACAAUUACUGGAGAAAGGCAGGCCACACGCGUUCGAUCUCUAUACCUCAAAUCUGUCUUGAGACAGGAUAUAUCAUUCUUUGACGUAGAAAUGACAACUGGGCAGAUAGUUUCAAGAAUGUCUGGUGAUACUGUGCUAGUUCAGGAUGCUAUUGGUGAGAAGGUUGGCAAGUUCUUACAACUUGUGGCUACUUUCAUAGGCGGUUUCGUGGUAGCUUUUGUGAAAGGAUGGCUUCUAUCUCUUGUCAUGUUGGCAUGCAUACCUCCAGUUGUAAUUGCAGGAGGAGCAGUGGCAAAAGUGUUAUCUACAAUCUCUAGCAAAGGUCAAGAAUCAUACAGUGAUGCAGCGAAUGUUGUUGAACAGACAAUUGGAUCCAUAAAAACAGUUGCCUCUUUCAAUGGGGAGAAACAGGCCAUCGGAGAUUACAAUAAACUCAUAAACAAAGCAUACAAGACAACUGUCAAGGAAGGACUUGCCAAUGGUUUUGGCAUGGGUUCUGUUUUCUUCAUAUUCUUCUCUAGCUAUGGCUUAGCCAUAUGGUACGGUGGAAAGUUGAUACUUACCAAAGGAUACACAGGCGGAGAAGUCAUCAGUAUCUUGUUCGCUAUCAUGACUGGGGCAAUGUCUUUAGGUAAUGCAACCCCUUGUAUGACAGCCUUUGCAGAGGGACAAUCUGCAGCACACAGAUUGUUCACAACAAUCAAGAGGAAACCAGAGAUUGAUCCUGAUGACAAGACUGGUAGGCAGUUAGAAGAUAUCAAGGGUGAUGUUGAGCUGAGAGAUGUGUAUUUCAGCUACCCAGCAAGGCCUGAGCAACUGAUAUUUGAUGGAUUCUCCUUGCAUGUGUCUAGUGGCACUACAAUGGCUAUAGUUGGGGAGAGUGGAAGUGGCAAGUCAACUGUGAUUAGUCUUGUAGAGAGAUUCUAUGAUCCGCAGGCUGGUGAAGUUUUGAUUGAUGGGAUCAAUAUCAAGAGUUUACAGCUUGAUUCAGUAAGAGGGAAAAUUGGUCUUGUUAGCCAAGAGCCCUUGCUCUUUAUGACCUCAAUUAAAGAUAACAUUACAUAUGGCAAAGAAGGCGCAACAAUUGAGGAGAUCAAGAGAGCCGCUGAGCUCUCCAAUGCAGCAAAUUUCAUUGAUAAGUUGCCCAAUGGUUAUGAUACAAUGGUUGGCCAACGCGGUGCUCAGCUUUCAGGGGGGCAAAAGCAAAGGAUCGCAAUUGCAAGAGCAAUCAUUAAAAACCCCAAAAUACUUUUGUUAGAUGAAGCUACUAGUGCAUUGGAUGUGGAGUCGGAGAGGAUAGUUCAGGAGGCACUGAAUAGGAUCAUGGUGGACAGAACGACGCUUGUAGUUGCUCAUCGUCUAACUACUGUCAGGAAUGCUGAUUGCAUAUCAGUUGUUCAACAAGGAAAGAUAGUUGAACAAGGUCCCCACGAUGAAUUGGUAGUAAACCCAGAUGGUGCAUACUCUCAACUAAUUAGGCUUCAAGAACACAAUGAAGAAGAGCAGAAAGUAGACCAUAGAAGAUUGGAUCCGAGGUCUAAAAGUACAAGCUUGUCAUUGAAGCGAUCGAUUAGCAGAGGUUCUGCAGGGAAUAGUAGUAGGAAUUCUUUCAACCUCUCCUUUGGGCUUCCUGGCGCAGUUGAAUUGCCUGAAGGAAAUGAUACACAUGGGGAGAAUCAUACAGAGCAGGAUGGUGAGGUUCCAAAGAAAGCUCCUAUGGGACGGCUGGCACUUCUUAAUAAACCAGAGGUACUUAUUAUUCUGUUAGGAUCCCUAGCUGCAGCAGUUCACGGAGUGCUUUUCCCAAUGUUCGGCGUGAUGAUUUCCAGUGCCAUUAAAACUUUCUAUGAGCCACCAGAUAAACUCAGAAAGGAUUCUAGCUUUUGGGGUUUGAUGUGUGUGGUGCUGGGUAUCAUUUCGAUAAUCUCAAUACCCGCAGAGCUCUUCUUGUUUGGAAUAGCUGGAGGGAAGCUUAUAGAGCGUAUCCGUGCUAUGUCAUUUCGAAGCAUUGUGCACCAAGAAGUCGCUUGGUUUGAUGAUCCUAAAAAUUCCAGCGGAGCACUUGGUGCACGACUGUCAGUUGAUGCUUUGAAUGUACGGCGUUUAGUGGGAGAUAACUUGGCCUUAACGGUUCAGAUUAUCUCUACACUUAUCACAGGGUUUGUCAUUGCUAUGAUAGCUGACUGGAAGCUCUCUUUGAUCAUCCUCUGCGUGAUUCCAUUAGUGGGCCUUCAAGGUUAUGCCCAAGUGAAGUUCUUGAAGGGUUUCAGUCAAGAUGCCAAGAUGAUGUAUGAAGACGCGAGUCAAGUGGCCACUGAUGCAAUUAGUAGUAUUAGGACCGUAGCUUCAUUUUGUUCUGAGAAAAGAAUUACAAGAAUAUAUGAUGAUAAAUGUGAAGCCUCAAUGAGUCAAGGAGUCAGAACAGGAGUAGUUGGAGGCAUCGGAUUUGGUUUCUCAUUCUUGAUGCUGUACCUUACGUAUGGUCUUUGUUUCUAUGUUGGAGCACAAUUUGUGCGCCAUGGCCAAUCAAGUUUUGGUGACGUUUUCAAGGUUUUCUUUGCACUGGUUUUAGCAACUAUUGGAGUAUCUCAAACAAGUGCAAUGGCCACCGAUUCAACAAAAGCAAAAGAUUCAGCUAUUUCCAUAUUUGCUUUAUUGGACCGAAAGUCUGAAAUAGACUCAAGCCGCAAUGAGGGUUUGACAUUAGAUGAGGUCAAGGGCAACAUCGAUUUCCAGCAUGUCAGCUUCAAGUACCCAACCCGCCCAGAUAUUCAGAUCUUCAGUGACUUUACCCUGCACAUUCCCUCUGGCAAGACUGUUGCCCUUGUUGGAGAGAGUGGUAGCGGCAAGUCAACGGUAAUUGGACUGUUGGAGCGAUUCUACAAUCCUGAUUCAGGCACCAUCUCAUUGGAUGGAGUGGAAAUCAAGAGCUUAAACAUCAAUUGGUUGAGGGACCAAACGGGACUUGUGAGCCAAGAGCCUGUACUCUUCAAUGAUACAAUCCGUGCCAACAUAGCCUAUGGUAAGGAUGGGGAAGUUACUGAGGAGGAGCUAAUUGCAGCUGCAAAGGCAUCCAAUGCGCAUGAGUUCAUAUCAAGCCUUCCCCAAGGAUAUGACACCACAGUUGGGGAGAGGGGGAUACAGCUGUCGGGUGGCCAGAAGCAGCGGGUGGCAAUUGCAAGGGCCAUACUGAAGGACCCCAAGAUACUACUACUUGAUGAGGCGACUAGUGCCUUGGAUGCCGAGUCCGAGCGAAUUGUGCAGGAUGCAUUAGACAAUGUGAUGGUCGGCAGGACCACGGUUGUUGUGGCUCACCGCCUCUCGACGAUCAAAGGUGCUGAUAUCAUUGCGGUUCUCAAGGAUGGUGCAAUAGUUGAGAAAGGAAGGCACGAGGUGCUGAUGAACAUAAAAGAUGGUGUGUACGCUUCACUAGUAGAACUUCGAUCAGCGUCAUCAUAA
rnacentral:rRNA from 1 species